rnacentral:rRNA from 1 species
CAGUGAGGCUGAUGUGUAGGCAAAUCCGCACAUCGUUAAGGCUGGGCUGUGAUGGGGAGGGAAAAUUUACAGUACCGAAGGUCAUGAUCUCACACUGCCAAGAAAAGCCUCUAGCCAGGAGAAGGUGCCCGUACCGCAAACCGACACAGGUAGGCGAGAAGAGAAUUCUAAGGCGCGCGGAAGAACUCUCGUUAAGGAACUCGGCAAAAUGACCCCGUAACUUCGGGAGAAGGGGUGCCCCGGUAGAGUGAAUAGCUCGAGGGGGCCGCAGUGAAAAGGCCCAAGCGACUGUUUAGCAAAAACACAGGUCUGUGCGAAGCCGCAAGGCGAAGUAUACGGGCUGACGCCUGCCCGGUGCUGGAAGGUUAAGGGGAGUGGUUAGGGGUAACCCGAAGCUAUGAACCGAAGCCCCAGUAAACGGCGGCCGUAACUAUAACGGUCCUAAGGUAGCGAAAUUCCUUGUCAGGUAAAUUCUGACCCGCACGAAUGGCGUAACGACUUGGGCGCUGUCUCAACGAGAGAUCCGGUGAAAUUUUAAUACCUGUGAAGAUGCAGGUUACCCGCGACAAGACGGAAAGACCCCAUGGAGCUUUACUGCAGCUUGAUAUUGGACUUUGAUACGAUUUGUACAGGAUAGGUGGGAGCCUAGGAAGCCGGAGCGCCAGCUUCGGUGGAGGCGCCGUUGGGAUACCACCCUGAUCGUAUCGGAGUUCUAACCUGGUACCGUGAUCCGGUACGGGGACAGUGUCAGGUGGGCAGUUUGACUGGGGCGGUCGCCUCCUAAAGAGUAACGGAGGCGCCCCAAGGUUCCCUCAGAAUGGUUGGAAAUCAUUCGAAGAGUGCAAAGGCAAAAGGGAGCUUGACUGCGAGACUGACAAGUCGAGCAGGGACGAAAGUCGGGCUUAGUGAUCCGGUGGUACCGCAUGGAAGGGCCAUCGCUCAACGGAUAAAAGCUACCCUGGGGAUAACAGGCUUAUCUCCCCCAAGAGUCCACAUCGACGGGGAGGUUUGGCACCUCGAUGUCGGCUCAUCGCAUCCUGGGGCUGAAGUAGGUCCCAAGGGUUGGGCUGUUCGCCCAUUAAAGCGGUACGCGAGCUGGGUUCAGAACGUCGUGAGACAGUUCGGUCCCUAUCUGUCGUGGGCGUAGGAAAUUUGAGAGGAGCUGUCCUUAGUACGAGAGGACCGGGAUGGACGCACCGCUGGUGCACCAGUUGUUCCGCCAGGAGCACAGCUGGGUAGCUAAGUGCGGACGGGAUAAGCGCUGAAAGCAUCUAAGCGUGAAGCCCCCC